CUCAGAACGAACGCUGCCGGCAAGCUUAACACAUGCAAGUCGAACGGACCGUAUACGCAGCUUGCUGCGUGUAUGGUUAGUGGCAGACGGGUGAGUAAUGCAUAGGAAUCUACCUAGUAGUAUGGGAUAGCCACUAGAAAUGGUGGGUAAUACUGUAUAAUCCCUGCGGGGGAAAGAUUUGUCGCUAUUAGAUGAGCGUAUGUCAGAUUAGCUAGUUGGUGGGGUAAUGGCCUACCAAGGCGGUGAUCUGUAGCUGGUCUGAGAGGAUGAUCAGCCACACUGGAACUGAGACACGGUCCAGACUCCUACGGGAGGCAGCAGUGGGGAAUAUUGGACAAUGGGCGCAAGCCUGAUCCAGCUAUGCCGCGUGAGUGAGGAAGG
rnacentral:rRNA from 1 species